AUUGAACGCUGGCGGCAUGCCUUACACAUGCAAGUCGAACGGCAGCACGGGAGCAAUCCUGGUGGCGAGUGGCGAACGGGUGAGUAAAGUAUCGGAACGUGCCCAGUCGUGGGGGAUAACGUAGCGAAAGUUACGCUAAUACCGCAUACGAUCUAUGGAUGAAAGGGGGGGAUCGCAAGACCUCGCGCGAUUGGAGCGGCCGAUAGCAGAUUAGGUAGUUGGUGGGGUAAAGGCUCACCAAGCCGACGAUCUGUAGCUGGUCUGAGAGGACGACCAGCCAACCUGGGACUGAGACACGGCCCAGACUCCUACGGGAGGCAGCAGUGGGGAAUUUUGGACAAUGGGCGAAAGCCUGAUCCAGCCAUGCCGCGUGCAGGAUGAAGGCCUUCGGGUUGUAAACUGCUUUUGUACGGAACGAAAAGGUUUGGCCUAAUAAGCUGAGCUCAUGACGGUACCGUAAGAAUAAGCACCGGCUAACUACGUGCCAGCAGCCGCCGUAA
rnacentral:rRNA from 1 species